GACGAACGCUGGCGGCGUGCUUAACACAUGCAAGUCGAACGGAAAGGCCCUGCUUUUGUGGGGUGCUCGAGUGGCGAACGGGUGAGUAACACGUGAGUAACCUGCCCUUGACUUUGGGAUAACUUCAGGAAACUGGGGCUAAUACCGGAUAGGAGCUCCUGCUGCAUGGUGGGGGUUGGAAAGUUUCGGCGGUUGGGGAUGGACUCGCGGCUUAUCAGCUUGUUGGUGGGGUAGUGGCUUACCAAGGCUUUGACGGGUAGCCGGCCUGAGAGGGUGACCGGCCCCAUUGGGACUGAGAUACGGCCCAGACUCAUACGGGAGGCAGCAGUGGGGAAUAUUGCACAAUGGGCGGAAGCCUGAUGCAGCAACGCCGCGUGCGGGAUGACGGCCUUCGGGUUGUAAACCGCUUUCGCCUGUGACGAAGCGUGAGUGACGGUAAUGGGUAAAGAAGCACCGGCUAACUACGUG
rnacentral:rRNA from 1 species